CUCCGGUUGAUCCUGCCGGACCUGACUGCUAUCGGAUUGGUACUAAGCCAUGCGAGUCAUUGUAGCAAUACAAGGCGGACGGCUCAGUAACACGUAGUCAACCUAACUCGUGGACGUGGAUAACCUCGGGAAACUGAGAAUAAACCACGAUAGAUCAUAGUGCCUGGAAUGGCUUAUGGUCCAAACAGUUUACUGCCAUGGGAUGGGACUGCGGCCUAUCAGCUUGUUGGUGAGGUAAUGGCCCACCAAGGCGAUUACAGGUACGGGCUCUGAGAGGAGAAGCCCGGAGAUGGGUACUGAGACACGGACCCAGGCCCUAUGGGGCGCAGCAGGCGAGAAACCUUAGCAAUGUGCGAAAGCACGACUGGGUCAGUCCGAGUGAUUCCUGAUAAAGGAGUCUUUUGCUUGUCCUAAAAGCACAGGUGAAUAAGGGGUGGGCAAGUCUGGUGUCAGCCGCCGCGGUAAUACCAGCACCUCGAGUGGUCAGGACGUUUAUUGGGCCUAAAGCAUCCGUAGCCGGCUCUGCAAGUCUUCGGUUAAAUCCACCUGCUCAACAGAUGGGCUGCUGGAGAUACUACAGAGCUAGGGAGUGGGAGAGGCAGACGGUAUUCAGUGGGUAGGGGUAAAAUCCUCUGAUCCAUUGAGGACCACCAGUGGCGAAGGCGGUCUGCCAGAACACGUUCGACGGUGAGGGAUGAAAGCUGGGGGAGCAAACCGGAUUAGAUACCCGGGUAGUCCCAGCUGUAAACGAUGCAAACUCGGUGAUGCAUUGGCUUAUGGCCAAUGCAGUGCCGCAGGGAAGCCGUUAAGUUUGCCGCCUGGGAAGUACGGACGCAAGUCUGAAACUUAAAGGAUUGGGCGGGGGAGCA
rnacentral:rRNA from 1 species